AUACUUACCUGUCAGGGGAGAUCCCAUGAUCACGAAGGUGGUUUUCCCAGGGUGAGGCUUAUCCAUUGUACUCCAGAUGUGUUGAUCCCUCUGAUUUCCCCAAACGUGGGAAACUUGACUGCAGAAUUUGCGGAAGUGGGGGAGUGCGUUCGAGCUAAA